AUUGAACGCUGGCGGCAGGCUUAACACAUGCAAGUCGAGCGAGCGGCGGACGGGUGAGUAAUGUCUGGGAAACUGCCUGAUGGAGGGGGAUACAUACUGGAAACGGUAGCUAAUACCGCAUACCAUCAGAUGUGCCCAGAUGGGAUUAGCUAGUAGGUGGGGUAAUGGCUCACCUAGGCGACGAUCCCUAGCUGGUCUGAGAGGAUGAUCAGCCACACAGGAACUGAGACACGGUCCAGAUGCCUACGGGAGGCAGCAGUGGGGAAUAUUGCACAAUGGGCGCAAGCCUGAUGCAGCCAUGCCGCGUGUGUGAAGAAGGCGUUCGGGUUGUAAAGCACUUUCAGCGAGGAGGCGUUACUCGCAGAAGAAGCACAGGCUAACUCCGUGCAAGACGCCGCGGUAAUUC
rnacentral:rRNA from 1 species